UACGUAGGUGGCAAGCGUUGUUCGGAAUUAUUGGGCGUAAAGAGCUCGUAGGCGGUCUGUCGCGUCGGAUGUGAAAACCCAGGGCUCAACCCUGGGCCUGCAUUCGAUACGGGCAGGCUCGAGUUCGGUAGGGGAGACUGGAAUUCCUGGUGUAGCGGUGAAAUGCGCAGAUAUCAGGAGGAACACCGAUGGCGAAGGCAGGUCUCUGGGCCGAUACUGACGCUGAGGAGCGAAAGCGUGGGGAGCGAACAGG
rnacentral:rRNA from 1 species